AAACGUGAAACGUGGUUCGACUAAAUAGAAUAGAUAUAGACCUAAAUUAAUACUAAAUCAUAUAAACUAACUAUAUAAAACAUAACUGCACAAUAAACUUAUGAACUGCAUGCACAUGAAUUUGUCACUUACAGAUGUUUUUCCUGUCGCUCUUUUUCGUCUAUUCUUUUACCAUAAAUAUCCUCUAAAAGAUGUAGCAGUGUCCUCUGUCUUUGAAUUACAAAACUAUACUGAUCCAUGCACUGG